rnacentral:rRNA from 1 species
GACGAACGCUGGCGGCGCGCUUAACACAUGCAAGUCGAGCGAGAACCAGCCCUUCGGGGCUGGGGAAAGCGGCGAACGGGUGAGUAACACGUGAGUAAUCCACCCUCGGUACCGGGAUAGCCCGGGGGAAACCCGGAUUAAUACCGGAUGGCCCAGCAGCUCUUUGGGGCGGCUGGAAAAGGUAGCUUCGGCCUCCGACCGAGGACGAGCUCGCGGCGGAUUAGCUUGUUGGGUGGGGUAACGGCCUACCAAGGCGACGAUCCGUAGCUGGUCUGAGAGGACGAUCAGCCACACUGGGACUGAGACACGGCCCAGACUCCUACGGGAGGCAGCAGUGGGGAAUCUUGCGCAAUGGGCGAAAGCCUGACGCAGCGACGCCGCGUGCGGGAAGAAGGCCUC